rnacentral:rRNA from 1 species
GAGUUUGAUCCUGGCUCAGGAUGAACGCUGGCGGCGUGCUUAACACAUGCAAGUCGAACGAACCUUCGGGUUAGUGGCGGACGGGUGAGUAACGCGUGGGAAUCUGCCCUCAGGAGGGGGAUAACGGCUGGAAACGGCCGCUAAUACCCCAUAUGCCGAGAGGUGAAAUGAAUUUCGCCUGAGGAUGAGCCCGCGUCUGAUUAGCUAGUUGGUGAGGUAAGAGCUCACCAAGGCAUCGAUCAGUAGCUGGUCUGAGAGGAUGAUCAAGCCACACUGGGACUGAGACACGGCCCAGACUCCUACGGGAGGCAGCAGUGGGGAAUUUUCCGCAAUGGGCGAAAGCCUGACGGAGCAACGCCGCGUGAGGGAUGAAGGCCUCUGGGCUGUAAACCUCUUUUCUCAAGGAAGAAGAUCUGACGGUACUUGAGGAAUAAGCCACGGCUAAUUCCGUGCCAGCAGCCGCGGUAAUACGGGAGUGGCAAGCGUUAUCCGGAAUUAUUGGGCGUAAAGCGUCCGCAGGCGGCCCUUCAAGUCUGCUGUUAAAACGUGGAGCUUAACUCCAUCAUGGCAGUGGAAACUGUUGGGCUUGAGUGUGGUAGGGGCAGAGGGAAUUCCCGGUGUAGCGGUGAAAUGCGUAGAUAUCGGGAAGAACACCAGUGGCGAAGGCGCUCUGCUGGGCCAUAACUGACGCUCAUGGACGAAAGCCAGGGGAGCGAAAGGGAUUAGAUACCCCUGUAGUCCUGGCCGUAAACGAUGAACACUAGGUGUCGGGGGAAUCGACCCCCUCGGUGUCGUAGCCAACGCGUUAAGUGUUCCGCCUGGGGAGUACGCACGCAAGUGUGAAACUCAAAGGAAUUGACGGGGGCCCGCACAAGCGGUGGAGUAUGUGGUUUAAUUCGAUGCAACGCGAAGAACCUUACCAGGGUUUGACAUCCUGCGAACCUCUUGGAAACGAGAGGGUGCCUUCGGGAACGCAGUGACAGGUGGUGCAUGGCUGUCGUCAGCUCGUGUCGUGAGAUGUUGGGUUAAGUCCCGCAACGAGCGCAACCCACGUCUUUAGUUGCCAGCAUUUAGUUGGGCACUCUAGAGAGACCGCCGGUGAUAAACCGGAGGAAGGUGUGGAUGACGUCAAGUCAUCAUGCCCCUUACAUCCUGGGCUACACACGUACUACAAUGCUACGGACAAAGAGCAGCAAGUUCGCGAGGACAAGCAAAUCUCAUAAACCGUGGCUCAGUUCAGAUCGUAGGCUGCAACUCGCCUACGUGAAGGAGGAAUCGCUAGUAAUCGCAGGUCAGCAUACUGCGGUGAAUACGUUCCCGGGCCUUGUACACACCGCCCGUCACACCAUGGAAGUUGGCCACGCCCGAAGCCGUUACUCCAACCCUUGUGGAGGAGGACGUCGAAGGUGGGGCUGAUGA